AACGAUUACAAUUUGCAUAAUUGUUAUCUACAUUUCGGUGGUAUAAAGCAGUAAGUAAUCACCGCUUAGCCAACAAAAACACACCUAACUUCAAAACAUCAUGCUUAUCUUCAAAAGCAAUGCCUUUACUUUGCAGAUUAUACCUUUUAUCUUUAUAGCACUAUUCCAUGUUCCAAUAAGAACAACUGACGCAAAGUGCAAUGUUUGUCAAGAAAAUGGAGCUGCUUGCCUUAAUUCGACAUCGUUUUACAUGUGUCACGGAAGUAUACGAUGUUCUUUGUUUAUUUUAAAAAUACGGUGGUAUCAUAAUCUGUCUUCUUCUAGAUCCGGUUCCUUUUUAUAAUAAAAUUUAUCACUGCCCAAAAGGUUUUGAUUGUUCGAACUUAAAUGCAAUUUGUGUUCAAAGUUUAGCCUCAAGACCAGCGAGUUGUGGUGAUACCAGUCUUUGUGGACUUUGUAGUGCUCACAAGAACCAUUUAUUUGCUUGUACUAGCCGCCGUACAUUUCAGAUGUGUUAUGGAGCAUCACAGAGUAAAAGUGUUCUCGGAUAUUGUCCUGAUGGAUAUAUUUGCAAUGCGAACUCGAAUGCAAUAUGUAUUCCAUUCCUUGAGACUGAAGAUGUAACUUGUGAUCUUUUGAAUCCCAUUGAAAACAAUGAUUAUUCAGGAGACACAUCAACAAGUUCAAGUGAUCCGGUUGAUUCAUCUUCAAGGCCGUCAAUAUUACCAACUUUUCUCACCGCUCAGGAGAUAUGUGAUGUUGAACAGAAAGUUGGUGUUUUUCAAAUUCCAGGGGAUAUGCAAUGUUUACAGUACGCAAGGUGCUACAUUCAAAAGGGAAGAAUUUUCGGAAGUUUAGCAAACUGCCCCAGUGGAACUUAUUUUAGCAGUAAAUCCUUGCAGUGUGUUCUGUCAAAACCAUCUUAUUGUUUGUAAUUAUAAGAAACAAAAAUAUCUGAAAAUAAACAUUUAAAAAUAUAC